rnacentral:rRNA from 1 species
UACAGAGGGGGCAAGCGUUGUUCGGAAUUACUGGGCGUAAAGGGCGCGUAGGCGGCCUUCUAAGUCGAACGUGAAAUCCCCGGGCUCAACCCGGGAACUGCGUCCGAGACUGGAAGGCUCGAAUCCGGGAGAGGGAUGUGGAAUUCCAGGUGUAGCGGUGAAAUGCGUAGAUAUCUGGAGGAACACCAAUGGCGAAGGCAGCACUCUGGGACGUGACUGACGCUGAGACGCGAAAGCGUGGGGAGCAAACAGG